rnacentral:rRNA from 1 species
UUAAAUUGAAGAGUUUGAUCAUGGCUCAGAUUGAACGCUGGCGGCAGGCCUAACACAUGCAAGUCGAACGGUAACAGGAAGAAGCUUGCUUCUUUGCUGACGAGUGGCGGACGGGUGAGUAAUGUCUGGGAAACUGCCUGAUGGAGGGGGAUAACUACUGGAAACGGUAGCUAAUACCGCAUAACGUCGCAAGACCAAAGAGGGGGACCUUCGGGCCUCUUGCCAUCGGAUG